GACGAACGCUGGCGGCGUGCCUAAUACAUGCAAGUUGAGCGCUGAAGGUUGGUACUUGUACCAACUGGAUGAGCAGCGAACGGGUGAGUAACGCGUGGGGAAUCUGCCUUCGAGCGGGGGACAACAUUUGGAAACGAAUGCUAAUACCGCAUAAAAACUUUAAACACAAGUUUUAAGUUUGAAAGAUGCAAUUGCAUCACUCAAAGAUGAUCCCGCGUUGUAUUAGCUAGUUGGUGAGGUAAAGGCUCACCAAGGCGAUGAUACAUAGCCGACCUGAGAGGGUGAUCGGCCACAUUGGGACUGAGACACGGCCCAAACUCCUACGGGAGGCAGCAGUAGGGAAUCUUCGGCAAUGGACGAAAGUCUGACCGAGCAACGCCGCGUGAGUGAAGAAGGUUUUCGGAUCGUAAAACUCUGUUGGUAGAGAAGAACGUUGGUGAGAGUGGAAAGCUCAUCAAGUGACGGUAACUACCCAGAAAGGGACGGCUAACUACGUG
rnacentral:rRNA from 1 species